rnacentral:rRNA from 1 species
CCUACGGGAGGCAGCAGUGAGGAAUAUUGGUCAAUGGACGCAAGGCUGAACCAGCCAAGUCGCGUGCAGGAAGACGGCUCUAUGGUUUGUAAACUUCUUUUGUAGGGGAGUAAAGGCAUCUACGCGUGGCUAUCUGAAAGUACCCUAUGAAUAAGCAUCGGCUAACUCCGUGCCAGCAGCCGCGGUAAUACGGAGGAUGCGAGCGUUAUCCGGAUUUAUUGGGUUUAAAGGGUGCGUAGGCUGUCGUAUAAGUCAGCGGUGAAAUCCUGAGGCUCAACCACGGAAUUGCCGUUGAUACUGGAAGGCUAGAGUGUGGUUGAGGUAGGCGGAAUGUGUGGUGUAGCGGUGAAAUGCAUAGAGAUCACGCAGAACUCCGAUUGCGAAGGCAGCUUACCAAGCCACUACUGACGCUGAGGCACGAAAGCGUGGGGAUCAAACAGGAUUAGAUACCCCAGUAGUC